rnacentral:rRNA from 1 species
UACGAAGGGGGCUAGCGUUGCUCGGAAUCACUGGGCGUAAAGGGUGCGUAGGCGGGUCUUUAAGUCAGGGGUGAAAUCCUGGAGCUCAACUCCAGGACUGCCUUUGAUACUGAAGAUCUUGAGUUCGGGAGAGGUGAGUGGAACUGCGAGUGUAGAGGUGAAAUUCGUAGAUAUUCGCAAGAACACCAGUGGCGAAGGCGGCUCACUGGCCCGAUACUGACGCUGAUGCACGAAAGCGUGGGGAGCAAACAGG